CUUCAUUUAUUUCGUACCUGCCUAAUUCCUACUUAUUUGUGCUAGACAAAUUAUAAUCGGAAAUCCCGCUGGGGAUUUAUUUCUACGUUGGAAUUUCUACGUUCGAGUUUUUACAUUCUACUUUAAACCCUCGCUACGCAACGUUCUACCUGGCGGCGAGUGAAAGACCAGACCUGAUCCUGUCUGGAACUACCUGGGUCCUGCUGGAGACCUGGAAGUGCAACCUGGGAAGGAGCUGGGCCGUCGUCGGAGCUACACCACGGUUCAGGCCAGUGUUCCCAGUGUACCUUCUACCUCGAGAUCUAUUCGUGGUUAGGGCAACAGAAGUUGGCUUAAAUAAAGUCUCAAUUUCUACCAAA